rnacentral:rRNA from 1 species
AUGCCACCAAUCACUGUGACUACACGCUCUGGUCCUGGUCCAGGUGUGGCCCUCGUCCACGUCCUUGGCGCCAAGAAACCUCUGGUGCCUGGAAUUAAAGGUUUGACCUUUGCGCUCGGCGCCGCGCCCUUUUCCCCAUUAAUUAAAUGCGUCCUCAUGGCACCGCGGCUCGCCGUCAAGAGAAAUGCUUCUUGGCUCAGUGAAAUUUUGGAGAGACACACCUUAUCUGAAAAGUAUCUUGGCCUUCCGACAGCUGCAGGUAGAAUCACGGAGCAGCUCUUUGAGUACAUCAUUGAACAUUCGAGGGUGCAAGGGUAUUGUGAGAAGAAGAUGUCAUGUGCAGCAAAAGAAGCACUUCUCAAGUCUAUUAUCCAGGCCUUACCGACCUUCUUUAUGAGUUGUUUUAAACUCACUAAGGUGUUAUGCAAGAAAAUAAUGACACCUAUGUCAAAGUACUGGUGGGCUGGAUCUUUAGACAAAACAGGUAUGCUUUGGCAAUCUUGGCAGAAAAUUUCAGUGUCAAAAUUCAGAGGUGGCAUGGGUUAUCGGGAUCUUGAGUUGUUUAAUGAUUGUAUGCUGGCAAAACAAGCAUGGCCCCUGAUGGAUAAACCGGAGAGCCAGUGUGCUGGGGUGUUAAAGGGGAGGUAUUACCCUCAUUGUGAUUUCCUUGCUGCAGAUUGCCCAAAGAACGCAUCUCGAACCUGGAAAGAAAUCAUGCAGGGAAGAGAGGUUCUGAAGGAAGGAUUGAUUCGAGAGUUGGGGACGGGUGUACUACAGAAAUCUGGCAUGACCAGUGGAUUUCAGAUACAACUUCCAUGA